rnacentral:rRNA from 1 species
UACAGAGGUCCCAAGCGUUGUUCGGAUUCAUUGGGCGUAAAGGGUGUGUAGGUGGCGCGCUAAGUCGGGUGUGAAAUUUCGGAGCUUAACUCCGAAACUGCAUUCGAUACUGGCGUGCUUGAGGACUGGAGAGGAGACUGGAAUUCAUGGUGUAGCAGUGAAAUGCGUAGAGAUCAUGAGGAAGACCAGUGGCGAAGGCGGGUCUCUGGACAGUUCCUGACGCUGAGACACGAAGGCCAGGGGAGCAAACGGG